rnacentral:rRNA from 1 species
GACGAACGCUGGCGGCGUGCUUAACACAUGCAAGUCGAACGGAAAGGCCCUGCUUUUGUGGGGUGCUCGAGUGGCGAACGGGUGAGUAACACGUGAGUAACCUGCCCUUGACUUUGGGAUAACUUCAGGAAACUGGGGCUAAUACCGGAUAGGAGCUCCUGCUGCAUGGUGGGGUUUGGAAAGCUUCGGCGGUUGGGGAUGGACUCGCGGCUUAUCAGCUUGUUGGUGGGGUAGUGGCUUACCAAGGCUUUGACGGGUAGCCGGCCUGAGAGGGUGAACAGCCACAUGAGGACUGAGAUACGGCCCAGACUGCUACGGGAGGCAGCAGUGGGGAAUAUUGCACAAUGGGCGGAAGCCUGAUGCAGCAACGCCGCGUGCGGGAUGACGGCCUUCGGGUUGUAAACCGCUUUCGCCUGUGACGAAGCGUGAGUGACGGUAAUGGGUAAAGAAGCACCGGCUAACUACGUG